rnacentral:lncRNA from 1 species
GGGAAUUUCCUACAUGGAAAAAUCUGCCAGGGGAAACAUCAAUCCUGUCUUCAGCUCCGCUGUCCCUGGCCGGGCAGAGCACUCCACGUGCUCUGCAGAGCAAACCAGACCCAAACCAAACCAGCAUGCUCAAGCAUGGAUGCACACGUGCCUGCACACCAAGGUCUCCUCCAGCAGUCACCAAACACCGCUGGGACUUGGCCGUGCAGGUUAUGGGUAAUGACAUAUCACAUAACUCAUCUGUGGGCUGCUGGGUCCUCUCAGCUUCCUGCGUGCUCGCCCACUUACUGAAGGCGGGUUAAAUAUCCCUGCAAGUCUUUCCCAGGAGACUGAUUCAAUCCAAACCACUCAGCACAGAUGCAGUGGAGGUAGGGCAGAAGAUGUGCUGGCUUUCAACAAAAGCUUCACUUGGAAUUUAUGGUUUGUUGUUUUUUUUUAAGAAAAAGUGAGUUUGGAAAGACAUGUCUAAAGAAGGAACCCAAGUGCAAGCAGAACAUAAAAUUAAUUCAAGCACAGAGGCUGCACGAACAGCUCGAUUCCACCACUGCCAGCUUCCCUCAAGCACACGAGCAGUGGUGGCUCAGUGGAACUUUCCAUCUUCCCAGUCCAAGUAUUUGUCAGCUCCUGCAUCCUGAUUAAAUCUGCAAUCCUGGUAACUGGGGAUGGGGGAGAGGGCGAGGUUCAGCACUACCCACAGGAGCCUCACUCUGUAGGGAUCUGACAAUCUCGCUCCAAGACACGGCUCAUGGGACGGAAUUCAUCUGCCCUCCCCUGUCCAUUGCUCUCUGAGCUGUCCUGCCCUGUCCCUUGCACAUAGCCAGCUUAGGGGGCUGCCAGGGGUAGGGGCACAACGUGGUGACCAGAAAGGAUCUGUCAGCACAGCUGGACCAUGGCUGCCAGGCUCACCUGAAUGGCUGUGGGUCACUUCACUGCCUGGCCUUGCAGCCACACCUCUCUUGGAGGUCCAUCAGCGCAGGGAUGCCUGCAGGCAGCACCACAUUCCCCAGCUGUUGCUAUGGCUACAGGAAGCUGCUGCAUCCCUGCAUGCAGCAUCCUGCCUCACCGAGGGUCCUCGCAGCAACCAGCUGGCCUGGAGGACAUCCUUGAGAUGCUGCUUGCUUCACGAGUGGCUCUGAUGUCCCCUCACAGAAAAUCCAUGCCCCUCCUUCCCUUUUCCCCAGCACACUGGCCUCCUCUCAAGAGGAAGGAGCUCAGCAGCUCUGACUGCGGAGUACAAAGGCUCACACAGGGCACAGUGGAAGUCACAGGGAAACGGGAACACAAGGAGCUGUUUCACACAGAGACACCAGUUACCGACUUGUUGACUGGGAGAUGUGAGAGUGCACACCGGGGAAGUGUCAUGCAGCUCACUGGCCCAGUGACAAACACCUCUCACGCUUUGCUUGCGCUUUUCCCAGGGAACACGUCCGCCCGGAGCGUGCCCUGCUGUCACUGA